rnacentral:misc_RNA from 1 species
CCAGCAACUUGGAGGAAUGAAUAGCGAAAGCUUAUUACAUAACAUGUAAAAAUGACAAUGUCAUAUAAAAUUCUGGACAUAAUUUUGAUAAUGACAUAAUAUGUCUAUAGGUCUUGACCAAUUCACGUGCCAGCAGUCGCGGUAAUACGUGUAAGACAAGUGUUAUUCAUCUUUAAUCGGUUUAAAGGGUACCUAGACGGUAAAAAAAGCCAAAAAAGGAACUAUUUUACUAGAGUUUUAUGGGAGGUGUGAAAACCACAGUACGAAAGAUGUAGUGAUAAAAUACGAUAAUAUCUUACUGACUGUCAGCAGCGAAAGCGUUAUCCUAUGUAAAAACUGACGUUGAGG